AUACAGAGGGUGCGAGCGUUAAUCGGAAUUAUUGGGCGUAAAGAGCAUGUAGGCGGUCUGUUAAGUCUGGUGUGAAAGCCCGGGGCUCAACCCCGGAAGUGCAUUGGAUACUGGCAGACUUGAGUAUGGGAGAGGAAUGCGGAAUUCCGAGUGUAGGAGUGAAAUCCGUAGAUAUUCGGAGGAACACCAGUGGCGAAGGCGGCUUUCUGGACCAAUACUGACGCUGAGAUGCGAAAGCGUGGGGAGCGAACAGGAUUAGAUACCCGGGUAGUCC
rnacentral:rRNA from 1 species